rnacentral:misc_RNA from 1 species
CGAAAACUCGCAAAUCUUCUCAUAGAAGCAGACGCACCCUUUAUUAUUGUAAUAACUAUAAAAGGAAAAAAAGGAAUUAUUGUCGCUUUUCUUCCUGUCGAUUUGGGACUCGGACGAUUAACUGUGACUGCGAGUCAUGACUAGACCGCCGCCGUCGAGUUUGGGUGUCUCUUCUGCCAAGCGAUUAAGCGUUUUUGAUUUCACUGACGAUGAUGAGCGUGUUGAGAAGUUGUCUGAGAAGAUUCUUAGGAAAUUUGGAGAACCUAAGAGAAGGCGAGACUUCUCCUCUUCUCCUAUCACCAAGGAUAAGUUUAUUGAGUUUUUUGCAGGACGUACUAGGGCUCAAGAAAAGGAAGGUGCCAAUGAACAUUUUGUUGUUGAAAUUGACCCUAUCAUUGUUGACAAUGAACCUGUUGAUGUUGACAUGAGACUUGCUGAAGGGAUCAAGGCUCCACGCCAGGAAAUUAGUGACGAAUCAGUAGAUAUAGAUACUAAUGGUGCAAGCCAUCCUCACAAACUUUCUGUUUCACCUCCUAUGUCCACUCUACUAGAAGAUAUGUCCACUCUACAAGAAGAUGGUGCGGUAAAGGAGACUUUUUGUGUGGACGCACUGGUGCUAUCUGGUUCUCCAAAUUUUGAGAACAAGUCAGUAGACAUGAUUUCAGAUGACGAUGAUGGAAGUGAAGCAAGUUAUGCAUCGAUUUCCCUCUCCACUCUCGAAUGGACUGCAGUUCCAUCAAAAGAUCCAGUACCAGAGUGUUCUUCUGUUGGACAUAAUAUUGAUAUUUUAAAUAAUAAAGUUGUUGUUUUCCCCGAUUUUGUACUAUACAAAGACAUAUAUUGUACAGAGUCCCACUUAACAUUCUCAAGAAGUUGCAUCAGAGUUGAGGGUGCCACUGUAAAUGGGGCCAAGGGAA